AGUGAACGCUGGCGGUAGGCCUAACACAUGCAAGUCGAACGGCAGCACAGUAAGAGCUUGCUCUUACGGGUGGCGAGUGGCGGACGGGUGAGGAAUACAUCGGAAUCUACUUUUUCGUGGGGGAUAACGUAGGGAAACUUACGCUAAUACCGCAUACGACCUACGGGUGAAGGCAGGGGAUCUUCGGACCUUGCGCGAUUGAAUGAGCCGAUGUCGGAUUAGCUAGUUGGCGGGGUAAAGGCCCACCAAGGCGACGAUCCGUAGCUGGUCUGAGAGGAUGAUCAGCCACACUGGAACUGAGACACGGUCCAGACUCCUACGGGAGGCAGCAGUGGGGAAUAUUGGACAAUGGGCGCAAGCAUGAUCCAGCCAUACCGCGUGGGUGAAGAAGGCCUUCGGGUUGUAAAGCCCUUUUGUUGGGAAAGAAAAGCAGCAGGUUAAUACCCCGCUGUUCUGACGGUACCCAAAGAAUAAGCACCGGCUAACUUCGUG
rnacentral:rRNA from 1 species